UACAGAGGUGGCAAGCGUUGUUCGGAAUUACUGGGCGUAAAGGGCGCGUAGGCGGUCCUGUAAGUCCUGUGUGAAAUCCCCCGGCUCAACUGGGGAAUUGCACGGGAAACUGCGGGGCUUGAGUUCGGGAGAGGGAAGCGGAAUUCCGGGUGUAGCGGUGAAAUGCGUAGAUAUCCGGAGGAACACCGGUGGCGAAGGCGGCUUCCUGGACCGACACUGACGCUGAGGUGCGAAAGCGUGGGGAGCAAACAGG
rnacentral:rRNA from 1 species